rnacentral:rRNA from 1 species
ACUCCUACGGGAGGCAGCAGUAGGGAAUCUUCCACAAUGGGCGCAAGCCUGAUGGAGCAACACCGCGUGAGUGAAGAAGGGUUUCGGCUCGUAAAGCUCUGUUGUUAAAGAAGAACACGUAUGAGAGUAACUGUUCAUACGUUGACGGUAUUUAACCAGAAAGUCACGGCUAACUACGUGCCAGCAGCCGCGGUAAUACGUAGGUGGCAAGCGUUAUCCGGAUUUAUUGGGCGUAAAGAGAGUGCAGGCGGUUUUCUAAGUCUGAUGUGAAAGCCUUCGGCUUAACCGGAGAAGUGCAUCGGAAACUGGAUAACUUGAGUGCAGAAGAGGGUAGUGGAACUCCAUGUGUAGCGUGGAAUGCGUAGAUAUAUGGAAGAACACCAGUGGCGAAGGCGGCUACCUGGUCUGCAACUGACGCUGAGACUCGAAAGCAUGGGUAGCGAACAGGAUUAGAUACCCUGGUAGGAUAGCG